GCCCCUGUAGCUCAGAGGAUAGAGCAGCGGUUUCCUAAACCGCGUGUCGCGUGUUCGAGUCACGCCAGGGGUACCA
rnacentral:tRNA from 1 species